rnacentral:misc_RNA from 1 species
GAUGAAGAACGUAGCGAAAUGCGAUAAGUAGUGUGAAUUGCAGAAUUCAGUGAAUCAUCGAAUCUUUGAACGCACAUUGCGCCCUUUGGUAUUCCAAAGGGCAUGCCUGUUCGAGCGUCAUUUGUACCCUCAAGCUUUGCUUGGUGUUGGGCGUCUUGUCUCUAGCUUUGCUGGAGACUCGCCUUAAAGUAAUUGGCAGCCGGCCUACUGGUUUCGGAGCGCAGCACAAGUCGCACUCUCUAUCAGCAAAGGUCUAGCAUCCAUUAAGCCUUUUUUUCAACUUUUGACCUCGGAUCGGGUAGGGAUACCCGCUGAACUUAAGCAUAUCAAUAAGCGGAGGA